rnacentral:lncRNA from 1 species
AGCAUUUGAACCCCAUUUCCAUACAUGCAGAAUGCCUCAUUGCGUGAGUUGUACUGAGACGUAUUUAUCAAUAUAAAAGCAAAAAUGGCCCGGUACUCAUCUUCCCAGAGUCCUUUGCAACUAAGACAUGAGUACAUGACGCAGCAUUACACCAAGCAGGAAUCUGGAGUCACAGGCUCAGUUUUCCUUGAAAUGAGGCAGUUUGGAACCAGUGGUCAAGAACUUCAUGUGACCAUGGAAAUGCAGACCGAGACAAGCAGAGAUUUAUGCUCAGCUGUGAGCCACCAACACUGCUGAAGAGCUGCACUCCUCAGCACAGGGCACUGCAGCAUCUUCACUUCCAAGGGUGAGAACGCUGAACCCAGACAAUUUAUCUGCACAAGUCUUAGGCUCACCGC